rnacentral:rRNA from 1 species
AACACGUGAGUAACCUGCCCUUGACUCUGGGAUAAGCCUGGGAAACUGGGUCUAAUACCGGAUACGACCGCUCACCGCAUGGUGUGGUGGUGGAAAGCUUUUGCGGUUUUGGAUGGACUCGCGGCCUAUCAGCUUGUUGGUGGGGUAAUGGCCUACCAAGGCGACGACGGGUAGCCGGCCUGAGAGGGUGACCGGCCACACUGGGACUGAGACACGGCCCAGACUCCUACGGGAGGCAGCAGUGGGGAAUUUUGGACAAUGGGCGCAAGCCUGAUGCAGCGACGCCGCGUGAGGGAUGACGGCCUUCGGGUUGUAAACCUCUUUCAGUAGGGAAGAAGCGCAAGUGACGGUACCUGCAGAAGAAGCGCCGGCUAACUACGUGCCAGCAGCCGCGGUAAUACGUAGGGCGCAAGCGUUAUCCGGAAUUAUUGGGCGUAAAGAGCUCGUAGGCGGUUUGUCGCGUCUGCUGUGAAAGACCGGGGCUCAACUCCGGUUCUGCAGUGGGUACGGGCAGACUAGAGUGAUGUAGGGGAGACUGGAAUUCCUGGUGUAGCGGUGAAAUGCGCAGAUAUCAGGAGG